ensembl:rRNA 5S_rRNA 5S ribosomal RNA
GUCUACAGCCAUGCCAUAGGAACAAGCCCGAUCCUGUCUGAUCUUGGAAGCUAAGCAGGGUCAGGCCUGGUUAGUACUUGGAUGGGAGACCACUUAGGAAGACUAGGUUCUGUAGGAG